CGUAGGGGCAAGCGUUGUCCGGAUUCAUUGGGCGUAAAGAGCUCGUAGGCGGUUCAGUAAGUCGGGUGUGAAAGCUCCGAGCUCAACUCGGAGAGGCCACCCGAUACUGCUGUGACUUGAGUCCAGUAGAGGAGCGUGGAACUCCUGGUGUAGCGGUGGAAUGCGCAGAUAUCAGGAAGAACACCUGCAGCGAAGGCGGCGCUCUGGGCUGGAACUGACGCUGAGGAGCGAAAGCGUGGGUAGCAA
rnacentral:rRNA from 1 species